UUGACAGAAGAAAGAGAGCACAACCCGCCAUUGGCCAAAGAGAUCUUUGCCACUGUUGGGAGUGUGCUCUCUUUUCUUCUGUCAU
rnacentral:miRNA from 1 species